rnacentral:rRNA from 1 species
UACGAAGGGGGCUAGCGUUGUUCGGAAUCACUGGGCGUAAAGCGCACGUAGGCGGAUCGUUAAGUCGGGGGUGAAAUCCCGGGGCUCAACCCUGGAACUGCCUUCGAUACUGGCGAUCUUCGAGUCCGGGAGAGGUGAGUGGAACUCCGAGUGUAGAGGUGAAAUUCGUAGAUAUUAGGAAGAACACCAGUGGCGAAGGCGGCUCACUGGUCCGGUACUGACGCUGAGGUGCGAAAGCGUGGGGAGCAAACAGGG